rnacentral:rRNA from 1 species
CCCUUAGAUGUCCUGGGCCGCACGCGCGCUACACUGAGUGUCUGAGAUAUGAGGCAUGCCUGGUCCGGCAAGGUCUAGGUAAUCACGAAAAGGCACAUCAUGCUUGGGAUUGAUUAUUGCAAAUUUUAAUCAUGAACGAGGAAUUCCUAGUAAGUGCAAGUCAACAGCUUGCGUUGAUUACGUCCCUGCCCUUUGUACACACCGCCCGUCGCACCUACCGAUUGAAUGGUUCGGUGAAGAUCUCGGACUUCGAUAUUUAUUCUUUAUUGAGUUUAUAUUGUGGGAAGUUAUCUAAACCUCAUCAUUUAGAGGAAGGUGAAGUCGUAACA